AAUGAACGCUGGCGGCGUGCUUAACACAUGCAAGUCGAGCGAGAAAACCCCUUCGGGGGCUAGUAAAGCGGCGAACGGGUGAGUAACACGUAAGAAUUUACCCUUUAGUGAAGAAUACCUUCGAGAAAUCGAAGUUAAUACUGCAUACGUCCCUUCGGGGAGAAAGGUGGCCUCUUGCUGCCGCUAAAGGAUAAGCUUGCGCGCUAUUAGUUUGUUGGUGGGGUAAAGGCCUACCAAGACUAUGAUGGCUAGCCGGCCUGAGAGGGUGUACGGCCACAUUGGAACUUAGAACGGUCCAGACUCCUACGGGAGGCAGCAGUGGGGAAUAUUGCGCAAUGGGCGAAAGCCUGACGCAGCGACGCCGCGUGGGGGAUGAAGGCCUUAGGGUCGUAAACUCCUGUUAAGUGGGAAGAAAAGCUCAUCGUUAAUACCGAUGAGAAAUGACUGUACCAUUAGAGAAAGCACCGGCUAACUUCGUGCCAGCAGCCGCGGUAAUACGAGGGGUGCAAGCGUUAUUCGGAAUCAUUGGGCGUAAAGGGUGUGUAGACGGCAUAUUAAGUCAGUUGUUAAAUUUUCCGGCCUAACCGGAAGUCUGCGAUUGAUACUGGUAAGCUAGAGGGUGAGAGAGAGAAGUGGAAUUCUCGGAGUAGCGGUAAAAUGCGUAGAUCUCGAGAGGAACACCGAUGGCGAAGGCAGCUUCUUGGUUCACUCCUGACGUUGAGACACGAAAGCGUGGGGAGCAAACAGGAUUAGAUACCCUGGUAGUCCACGCUGUAAACGAUGAUCACUAGACGUCAGCUUUGCUUAGCAGGGUUGGUGUCGCAGCUAACGCGAUAAGUGAUCCGCCUGGGGACUACGGUCGCAAGAUUAAAACUCAAAGGAAUUGACGGGGGCCCGCACAAGCGGUGGAACAUGUGGUUUAAUUCGACACUACGCGAGAAACCUUACCUAGGCUUGACAUGUGUUUGACAGCUGUAGAAAUACAGUCUUCCGAGCUUCGGUUCGGACAUGCACACAGGUGCUGCAUGGCUGUCGUCAGCUCGUGUCGUGAGGUGUUGGGUUAAGUCCUUUAACGAGCGCAACCCUUGCUGUCAGUUGCUACUCUUCGGAGGCACUCUGGCAGGACUGCCUGGGAAACCAGGAGGAAGGUGGGGAUGACGUCAAGUCAUCAUGGUCCUUAUGCCUAGGGCUACACACGUGUUACAAUGGCCAGUACAAAGGGCUGCAAACCUGCAAAGGUAAGCUAAUCCCAUAAAGCUGGUCUAAGUUCGGAUUGAGGUCUGCAACUCGACCUCAUGAAGUUGAAAUCGCUAGUAAUCGCGCAUCAGCUACGGCGCGGUGAAUACGUUCUCGGGCCUUGUACACACCGCCCGUCACACCACGAAAGUUGUCUGUACCCGAAGUUAUUUUAGCUAACCCGUAAGGGAGGCGGAUACCUAAGGUAUGGGGGAUGAUUGGGGUG
rnacentral:rRNA from 1 species